rnacentral:rRNA from 1 species
GAUGAACGCUGGCGGCGUGCUUAACACAUGCAAGUCGAACGAUGAAGCCCAGCUUGCUGGGUGGAUUGGUGGCGAACGGGUGAGUAACACGUGAGUAACCUGCCCUUAACUCUGGGAUAAGCCUGGGAAACUGGGUCUAAUACCGGAUAGGAGCGCCUACCGCAUGGUGGGUGUUGGAAAGAUUUAUCGGUUUUGGAUGGACUCGCGGCCUAUCAGCUUGUUGGUGAGGUAAUGGCUCACCAAGGCGACGACGGGUAGCCGGCCUGAGAGGGUGACCGGCCACACUGGGACUGAGACACGGCCCAGACUCCUACGGGAGGCAGCAGUGGGGAAUAUUGCACAAUGGGCGAAAGCCUGAUGCAGCGACGCCGCGUGAGGGAUGACGGCCUUCGGGUUGUAAACCUCUUUCAGUAGGGAAGAAGCGAAAGUGACGGUACCUGCAGAAGAAGCACCGGCUAACUACGUG